GCCUACGGGACGCAGCAGUAGGGAAUAUUGCACAAUGGGCGCAAGCCUGAUGCAGCAACGCCGCGUGCGCGAUGAAGGCCUUCGGGUCGUAAAGCGCUUUUCGGGGAGAUGAGGAAGGACAGUAUCCCCGGAAUAAGUCUCGGCUAACUACGUGCCAGCAGCCGCGGUAAAACGUAGGAGGCAAGCGUUAUCCGAAUUUACUGGGCGUAAAGCGUGUGCAGGCGGUUCGGUAAGUUGGGUGUGAAAUCUCCCGGCUCAACUGGGAGAGGUCGCUCAAGACUGCCGGACUGGAGGGCGGUAGAGGGAGGUGGAAUUCCGGGUGUAGUGGUGAAAUGCGUAGAUAUCCGGAGGAACACCUGUGGCGAAAGCGGCCUCCUGGACCGUACCUGACGCUGAGACACGAAAGCUAGGGGAGCGAACGGGAUUAGAUACCCUGGUAGA
rnacentral:rRNA from 1 species